AAAUGAAUUGACGGGGGCCCGCACAAGCGGUGGAGCAUGUGGUUUAAUUCGACGCAACGCGAAGAACCUUACCUGGGCUCGAACGGCUUUGGAAAGCUGGUAGAAAUACUGGCCCUCCAGCAAUGGAUCGAAGUCGAGGUGCUGCAUGGCUGUCGUCAGCUCGUGUCGUGAGAUGUUGGGUUAAGUCCCGCAACGAGCGCAACCCUUGUCCUGUGUUGCCAUCAUUCAGUUGGGCACUCUCAGGAGACCGCCAGCGAUAAGCUGGAGGAAGGUGGGGAUGACGUCAAGUCAUCAUGGCCUUUAUGUCCAGGGCUACACACGUGCUACAAUGACCGGUACAAAACGAAGCCAACCCGCGAGGGGGAGCAAAUCGUAAAAAACCGGCCUCAGUUCGGAUUGCAGGCUGCAACUCGCCUGCAUGAAGCUGGAAUCGCUAGUAAUGGCAGAUCAGCAUGCUGCCGUGAAUACGUUCCCGGGCCUUGUACACACCGCCCGU
rnacentral:rRNA from 1 species